CCGGAACUGUCUGUGAAAGUGAAAGUAAGACAGACGGAGAGAAACACCCGGACAGGUGAACACAGACACACCUGUUUCUCAAACACACAACCAGGAAACUGGAUUGAGAAAGUGAAAGUGUUGUUGAGCUGUUGGUGUGUGUCAAUGAGAAGAAAUGGCAGAAGCGAGUUUUUCAGAGGAUCAGUUGAUGUGUUCAGUGUGUUUGGAUCUACUGAAGGAUCCAGUGACGCUUCACUGUGGACACACUUACUGUAUGAGAUGUAUCACAGACUGCUGGGAUCAGGACGAUCAGACGGGAAUCUACAGCUGCCCUCAGUGCAGACAAACCUUCAGCCCUCGGCCUGUUCUAGGGAAGAAUGUGGUGUUUGCUGAAAUGGUGGAGAAACUGAAGAAGACCAAACUUUCUGAUGUGUGUUACGCUGGAGCUGGAGAUGUGGAGUGUGACGUCUGUACUGGAAGAAAACACAAAGCCAUCAAAUCCUGUCUGACGUGUCUGAAGUCUUACUGUCAAACUCAUCUUGAACGUCAUGAGGAAUUUCUCUCUGGAGAUUCACACAAAAUAGUGAGUGUGACUAGAAAACUGAAGGAGAUGAUCUGCCCUCAACAUCAGAAGCUUCUGGAGGUUUUCUGUCGUACUGAUCAGCAGUGCAUUUGUUUGAUGUGUUUGAUGGAUAAACAUAAAAACCACGACACAGUUUCAGCGGCAGCACAGAGGACAGAUGAAGAGAAACACUUGAAGGAGACGCAGAGAAAGUUUCAGGAGAAGAUCCAUCAGAGAGAGAAAGAUGUUCAGGAGCUGAGAGACGCUGUGGAGGGUCAUAAGCGGUGUGCACAGACAGCAGUGGAGGACUGUGAGAUGAUGUGGACUGAAGUGAUGUCAUUGAUUGAGAGAAGACGCUCUGAGGUGACACAGCUGAUCAGAGAUCAGGAGACGGCUGCAGUGAGUCGAGCUGAAGGACUCUUGGAGCGACUCAAGCAGGAGAUUGAUGAUCUGAGGAGGAGAGACGCUGAGCUGGACAAGAUUUCACACACAGAUGAUCACAUCACUUUCCUACAGAGUUUUCAGUCUCUCUCUGCACCUCCUGAAUCUCCAGACGACAUCAGUGUCACUUUCCUCUUUUCUUUUGAUGCUGAGAGAGAAUCUGUCCGUCAGCUGAGAGACAAACUGCAGGAUUUCUGCACACAGCACAUGAGAAAGAUCUCCGUCACACACACCAUCACUGAGCCCAGGAUCAGAGAGCACUUCCUACAAUAUUCUCAUCAGUUGACUCUGGAUCUAAACACAGUGAAUGAAUAUCUCAGUCUGUCUGAGAGAAACACAAAGAUCACAAACACUGGAACACCCCAGCAGUAUCCUGAUCAUCCAGACAGAUUUAAUGUGUAUCAGGUGUUGUGUAGAGAGAGUGUGUGUGGACGCUGUUACUGGGAGAUUGAGAGGACUGGUGUGAGUGUGUGUAUAUCAGUGUCAUAUAAGAGCAUCAGGAGGAAGGGAGGGAGUGAGUGUUGGUUUGGAUCUAAUGAUCAGUCCUGGAGUUUGAUCUGCUCUGAGUCCAGUUACACAUUCAGACACAAUAAGAUUGAGACUAAACUCCCUGUAAAGAUCAGAUGUGAUAGAAUAGGAGUGUAUGUGGAUGAGAGAGCAGGAAUUCUGUCCUUCUACAGCGUCUCUGACACAAUGACCCUCAUCCACAGCAUCAGCACCACAUUCACUCAUCCUCUCUAUCCUGGAUUUUAUGUUUAUAAUAAUUCAUCAGUGAAACUGUGUGAUCUAUAGAUUAUAGAGAGAUUCUACACGUCAGAUAUUAACAUGAGUAAAAUCUGCCUAUAUGAGGUGUAUAAACAAUUCCAGUUUAAAGUUUGAAAUCAUUUAUUUUAUUACUUUCAAAAAGCUACUCUUAAUGUAAAUAAUCAAAUACAGAGUUAAUGAAAAGAACAUAUAGACAGACAUAACAAGCGUUUCAUUAAAUAUGUAUAUAUAUUAUACAAUAUUAACAUAUGAUGAGUAAAUUAAGAAGUGAUUUUUGCUUUGCUGACUAAUGUAGUUAACUGAUGUUAACCAAUGAAAUCUUAUUGUGAAGUGUUAAAGAAUGCAAUAUAUCAGAUAAAACAUGUUUAGACUGUUUAAAAUGAUGAUAAAUUGGAGAAGUCAUACUACAUAUUUGGCAUAAGAGACAAAACUGUGACGAGGAAAAUGACCCUGGACAUCUACAAGAGAUCUGACAAUCUGCAUGAACAAAGUGACGUAUCAGUGAAUACAUCUGAUCGCUAAAGAUCAGUUUGUUUGUUAGAGAUAAGAUGAGAGAGUUCUGUGAGGUUAUUGUUGUCUGCUCUGCUAGAUUGACCAAAUUCUUCUAGACUUUAUACUUUAAGAGACAACAGACAGGACUGCUCGCAGAGAGAUUGAUCAAAUAUUUAAAUUCUGUGUCAGAAAUGAACAUCUAAGCAUGUACUCUUUCUCAGAAUGAGUCAAAUUUAACUUCUUGUUAUGAGAAGAGGAUUCCUGUUCAAAGAAACGACUCGCAUCCCUUUCUACACCAUUAUGUAUCAACAGAUCAAUAACACACCGAAGGUGCUUUUCAUCUUAAAUUGAACACGACCACUGACCACAUAUGUAAAUCACUUUUAUUAAAACAUUUCAAUCUCAAAUUCCUGAAGAUCUUAAACAGUUAAAUCUUAGUGACAGAAGUCUUAAUGGCUUUAGAUAGAACAAAACUCAAAUCUCGCAGACAGAGUGCCUGAGCCCACUGUGACAUGGAUCGCCAGCACGGGACAGAGCAACCGAGCCUACAGUCGCCCUGGAGCUAGAGCCCCGAGGCGAGAUUGAUCAGAUCUAUGAGCUGGCAACAUCGCCUGCCGUGGGAGUCUUGCCCCACCCAUACUCUCGCAGGUGAGGGUGAGCUGCAAGAUGCCUCUGGACUAUUUGACUGGUCUAAUUAGAUAGACCUUUGGCUGCUCCCUUCCCUGCUGGUCCCAUCCAGCAUGUCUACGUCCCCGCCGGUCCCGUCCGGCCCACCCCCAGCAGCCAAUCUCCACUCACCAUUCCCCAGGAAGCUCCUGCCCUCCCUCUGCCUCCAUCAGCCCGAGAGUCAGCCCUGGAGGUGUUGGCGACUGGUGACCCCUCAUCGAGCCAGCGUCGUUGGGUCGGAUGAGCCUCUUGGUCUCCAGCUGCCAACUACCCCUGAAGGACAGUAUCCCAUGUCUCCACCCUCAGCCGUCGAGACCCAUACUCUACCUUGGUCCUCCGACCCAGCAGCUACAUCUCAGGUCCUACCUCCCUCACCUUCGCUGUGGCCCGUCACCCCUUCAGUAGGCACCCUUGUCCCUCCAGCUCUGCCUUGGUCAGUCAUCGACCAUCCGUCCCCUUGGGGCUCCUCUCCUUCUGCUACGACUCGUCUCUCUGCCCCUUCGGCUCUGUCAGGCUCUUCUUUCCCUCCAGCUCCGCCUUCAUCCUCCUUCACUCUGGCUUCGCCGUGGUCUUCCGGAUCCCCGCGUGAGCCUUGGUUGCCUUAGCCAUCGAAGACGCCUCAUCCCUCCAAAGCCUCGGUGUCACCUUCCCGUUGUCAAACCCUCGUCCACCGCCUGAGACCCCUCCCCUCCUCCCCUGUGGGUUCGUUGUGGCGCGAGGACCCACCUGCAGGAGGGGGAGGUGCUGUAACAUCUCCACCGCUGUCUGCCAACUCCUAAACACUUUCACCAGUGUUGGAGAGUAGCUAAUUACAAAAAAAAUUCUUCAAAAUGCUGCAGUUGAAAAUCCAUAGUGUACAUAUAUUGCAGGAUGGCCCCAAAUGAAACCCACCAUCCGUUUUUCUACUUAUUUCAAAUAAUGUUUCUAUAAUCCAUUUUAGUGGAGAAUCGUUUUCCAAAAUGCUUUCAAAAACCAUACUUUACCUACUUAGUACCUGUUCAAAUCCAUGGGUACUGUAUUAAAACCAUGAUUUGCCUAUAUUAAUCAAUACACACAAACAUUUUUACAACCAACAAAAACUUGGCAAAUUUUCGUAAGACUACAAAUUAUAGACAAACUACUAAAUUGCAUGAACGGUUUUAUUUGCAGGAUAAAGGUCUAAAAGGCAUUACAUAAUAAAUAAUUAAAAGUUAAAGAUAGAGACAUUUUUUUUCACAUUAUACAGCAAUAAUAAUGCAAACAUUCUUAGAAAAAAUGCCUCAAUUAUGACAAAAACAAGAUAUUCUAAACGUAAGAGAAGAAAUAUUUUAUUUUACCUGGAAUGUACCGUAAACCCCUCAAUAGCCGCGCAUCCGAAUCUAAACGGCGGCUGGUUUGACCCGCAGUGAUUAAUUGCUCGUGGCCUUAUCUGUCCAAGUUCUUGUCUCUUAAAGAUGCAAACAGUAACGGUUACACGUUUUCAUGUAUUCGGUUCAAAAUCAAAAAAUAAAACGCAGUCUGCAGAAGUCGAAAACUUCAAGCACAAAUGUAAGGAAACACAUACAGGUGAGUUAUUUUGCCCUACAUUUGUUCUUUCUGUCUACAUUUUGCAAACUUGAGAUAAAUUUGAGAACAAAUUUAACUUGUGUACUGUGUAGUUUACAAAAUAAAACCACACUGAAAUCAGAAUCAGCUGCUUUGUAACAAUGAAAAUUGUAAAAAGCGCUAUAUAAAUAAAGUUGAGUUGAGAAUCGCAAAACAUUUUUUCUUAAAAUAUUUUUCAUUAACAAUAAUUCAGUUAUUCGUAAUAUACAAUGACACUCUAAAAUUAAAGUAGUUUCAAAAUAAAUGAAUUAAAAUUUAAUCAAUAAAUGAAUUAAAAUUAAUAUUGUUAUAAAUGACAUAUAAAACAAAUGGUUAAGCUAUAUUAUAACCAAACACAGAUCGGAAGUUAACAUUGUGCCAGGCUUGUGCAUCCGAAGAAACCAUCACAGUUCAACUUGACAAGUUUUUUGUGAAGACACCUAUGGCCUGUGGUGUACGUGUCAUGUUUAGUUUCAGCAAACUCUUGAGUUUUCAAGCCCAAGAAGGUGGGUUGGUUUUGAACGGGUUUCAUUGCCAUGGUAACUUACUGCUCUGGAGCAAGUUAAAAAGAGUUCACCGAACUUGAACUUUGGAACAUAAUUGGUGCUUUUCAAUUUGCAACCUUGUUUCCUCGCUCUUUCGUCCUCCAUCCUGUGACCCAGAAACCGAUCGACCACAGCCAUCUUUAAGGACGUCUCAGUUCUCUAAUUGCACUGGGAGGAGGCGAGGAUCAAGGAGAGAGGAGGCUUUCUGAUGAGUCAUGAGCGAGGAUACACAUGUGUUUCCUUUGCGGAAGUGUUUUAUCCACUAUAGUUAAACCUGACGCAGCAUUGUCCAGGUCACUGAGCUGAAACGUUUGGAAAGUUUGAGCUGUGAAGCAGUUGUUUACCGGGCCGUUUCUCCAUUGGCGUGGACCAGCUGAAAGACGCAGUUUGUGAAGAACGGAGCGCAUUUGAUGGAUUUAUUCUGAGGUGUGUAGCAAGACUUUAGGACCAAGGUUUAAAAGAGUUUUGAAGCCGCUCUCAACACUGCGCAGCGGCCCCUCUCCUCCUCAUCGGAUUAUUGGCUGUUUCCAGCAUUUAUGCUGUGGAUUAUUCCAUGGAUACUCGUCGGGCACACAUCAUCUUUUCAUCCACAGACACCCGGCUUCUGGGUACUAGCUAAAGCUAGCGCUAGCUUUAUGCUGGCGCACAACACCACAGCUCUAUUCUACCGCCGACAUCCACUCACUCUAUAACCACCACCGUUCGGACUGCAUUGACAUCCUCCGAGAAACUGGACUACUUCCCCUAUCCUCCUUACAGGGGCUCUGGUCGUAUGUUCAAUUACAACUUUUCAACCCCAAACUCUAUUCCAUCCAUCUGGUCCUGUUUGCGCACUACAACUUUAUCAUUACGUCAUCACAAAAAACGAUGCGCGCACCUCUCUAAUGUUCGCCCCCUUCCCCGGUCCUCUCAACCCAUCACGAAGCAACAUCACCUGAAACUGGCUUUGCUCAACACCUGCUCACUCAACAAAAAAAGCCUCAUUUUAUAUGAAAUCAUAACCGACAAUAACCUGAAUUUCCUUUGUAUCACAGAAACUUGGCUCAAACCUAUGGACUAUUUCUCACUCAAUGAAACCACACCCACAGGAUAUACAUACAUGGAAAAACCCUGUUUUGAGGGGCGUGGAGGUGGUGUCGCUGCAGUGUACAGAAAAGGCAUUAAAACAUCGACCAUCUCCAUCCCUGCUGCUGAAUCAUUCAAACACAACUCUUUUAAACUUACUGUACACUCCUGACCUGCACAAAAUGAAAUCUUGUCAGCGUCAGCUUGAAAGACUCCAUAGGAAAACUGUAUUAACUUUUCAUCAACAAUCCUUCACAGAUUACCCUCAGCAGUAUAAGGAAGCUCUUAAUGUAAAUGUCUUAUAAAUCAAAUUAAUAUUUUCCUACACAGUUUAUAAGAUAUUUAAUAGUUUUAUUUUAUAUAUGUUAAAAAGACAUUAUAGUUCGACAAUGUCACUUUGUCUGUUCUGCUUUUAUUUUGAAAAGCGCCGUUUUUUUUUUUUGACGCUUAAUCUUCCCGCUACACUCUUUUCACUUGGUAGUGCUCACGUUUCGUCUGAAGAACGGUAAAAACUUACAACCAUUUUAGUUAUUUAUCAUGCUCAUUCAUUUGAAUCUUGUAAAGAUUGCAAAGAGUUUACAUGGUGAUUUACUUUAUUAUUUUGUACUGCUCGUACAUGUUAUUAUUUCUAAGAGCUCCGAACUGUGAUGGUGUGUCGGGCUAAAGAGCAUGGUAGCUGAUAGCAGAGACUCUUUGAAUUAGCGCCCUUGGAGAAGCGGAAUGAAACAUCCGUCCAUCCAUCAAUCCAUUUUCUUCCGCUUAUCUGGGGCCGGGUCGUGGGGGCAGCAGUCUAAGCAGGGAUGCCCAGACUUCCCUCUCCCUAGACACUUCCUCCAGCUCUUCCGGGGGGACACCAAGGCGUUCCCAGGCCAGCCGAGAGACAUAGUUCCUCCAGCGUGUCCUAGGUCUACCCCCGGGGUCUCCUCCCGGUUGGACAUGCCCGGAACACCUUCCCGGGGUUGGGGCUCGUAUGCGAGCGCCUGGUGGUCGGGCCUCCCCCCAUGGGGUCCGGCCGUGCUCAGCCAGAAGGAGCGACGUGGGGCCACCCUCCCGUGGACCCACCACCUGCAGAAGGGACCGUAAGGGGCCGGUGCAAAGUGUAUCGGGCGGCAGUCGAAGGCAGGGGCGGAAUCUAUUUCAGACAGUUCACUUAAUAUAGCUUUAUAUUAAUAUAAUUCAUAUUGAUGUAUAACAUAUAUUUGACAUACCUUAUAUACAUUUCUGACCACUUUUUAGCAUGUUUUUAAAUGAUUUUAUUGUGGUGGGGAUUAUGAAGUCUGCCUUAAGUAUGUAUUUAACUUAAUUUUUUUCUUAUUAAUAGCCUAUAAACAAGUUUACAUACAAAAAAGGCAUUGAAUAAACAAUAUUAGGCAGACAUAAUAGCAAUUACAAUAUGUAACAAUGCGUUUUUACAUUAAGUCAACAAUCAUUAAUAGCAAUAACGGAUUUUUUUUUAUUAAGAUAUAAUCAAAUUAACUUUAUUCUUUAUAUUUUCAAAGUGCAAUGUGUAGUCAUCAUUGACAUCGCGUUGAAGUGACGCUAAAGGGGGCGAGGAUGUGCCAUUUCACUUCUUUUAAUUCCUCCGUCCUCGCUUCUUUUCUUUGUUCCCUUCCCUCAUAUCCUGAAGGGGUGGAGCAUGCGUAACUUUUUUUUGUUUCUUAAAUUUUUAUAUAAUUUUUUAUAAAAAUAAGGCAAUUACAUUUUAAAAUAAAAUUUCUAAGAAAAACAAGUGCACAAACGAAACAAAAAAGGAACUGCAUUUAGAAAUACACCCAUCCAAUUACAAAAUGAAAGAUAAAUAAAUAAAAUAAGAUACAAAGAUAGGGAAAUAAAUCUAUUAACCUACAUAACACCAGGGUCUUCUAAAAACUCAAAUUAUUCAACCAAUUUAAAUAGUUUCCUUCCGACUUUCGGUUUAAUUUUACUUGAAGAUUUAAAGUAAAUCCAAAAUUCAUUUUGAAAGAUCAAAAACAAUGGUUUUGUUUUAAGGCACUUACACUUAUGAAUAUCUAAUUUCCCCAAAAUAAGGAUAUUGUUUAUCAAAAAUCCAAAGUUUAACUCUUUCAUAAUAACUCCAAAAAGUAUAUCACUUUUGGAAAAAGCCAACAGAUCAAUAGAAUUCUUCAGCCACUCAUACAAAUCAGACAGAAAAGCUCUACUGUAUUCACAAUCUUUGCAGCGGUAGCUUGCGUUUCCGGACCUGUCGUAUUUGCGUGCGUAUGAAUCGAAGUCAGUGGAGAAAAAAGAAAGUUGUGACCGCAGAUUUUUCUGGGUCAGAGAUCGCAGACCAAAACUGGACCAAUCAACUGUGAGUAUAGUGACAUCUGACGAAAUAAAGCCACUCCGCUUUUAUCUGAGUUUAAAGUGAUAUGAGGGAAAAUCUUUUGCUUCUAAGUGUUUAUUUGUUUUGUAUAUUUAUCGAUUAUAAUUAUGUAUAAUUCAAAACAUAUUAAUAUUAUUAUUAUAUGAAUGAAUGAGGCAUUUAUAUAGCGUUUUAUUGUGUAUUGCUGUACACCCAAAGCGCUAUACAAUCAUAUGAAGGGGGUCUCUCAUCACCCACCACCAUAUGAGUUGAUAAUUCCUAUAUUAAUUAAUUAUUAUUAAACAUAGAAAUUUAAGUAUCUAUAUAUAAAGAUUUUUAAACACGAAGCAUACCUAUAUAAAUAAUUUAAGAUCCGUUGAUUCGGCAUUGAUUUAGUCAAUAGCUGCCUUCUCGAACUUUCACCGCAUCUGUGUUUAUUCCUCCCUUGUUAAAAAUCGUGUUUCAAUUUAUGACACAUUUUUCACAAUGAUCUUGAUGUUCCGUGUGAUUGGCUGUUAGCCGCACGUGUCACACUUUCAGGCGCACGCGCCUCAUCAAACUGGAAGGCUGUUAUAUAAAAGGACGCUUAAAAAAGCGGCGAUUAAAGCCGCUGACAUGAAUUAAACACCUGACAUGAAUGAACAGAACUCAUCAGUCACCGUCUGUCUGAGUUGACAGAGAAGGUUUAUAUCAAGUGUUGUGCAACAGCUGAACUUGAUCUAUACCUGGUUUGUCUCGUUUUGUCAACUGUAAAUUUCGUGCAACUGACAAAAUUUUCUUCAAAAACCCCGAUAUAAUACCCAUAUAUACCUGCGUGCUGAAUUCUGUUGUUCAUAUUUGAAUUCUGUAUUCACUGUUUACAUUACUUAAAGUGUGCAAUAGACAUUUUUCUAUUCUUAACUCAGUCACAAUGCCUCACACUUCUGCUGCAAAACCGAUUCAUGUGCAACAACGCAGCUCUGAGAUUAUCUGACCACAUCAAUGCAGUUGUGCACAUCUCUGCACUGACAUGACUCUAUGACCUCGUGCAUUCAUCUAUUGCGCUGCAGUCAGCCUACACAGCAUCCAACAUGUGUGCUCUCGCAUUUAACAAAAGAAGAAAUGACAGGAGGUCCAUCGGUUCAUCUUUCUCUUGCUCAAAGUGAGGACGUGUGUCUUUCUAUAUGCAAUGAUCUGUGUUACAAACUGAGGAGACUUUGUCUAUAGUGUAAGACAGGCUCAGCACAAAGAACAUGAUUUUACAUGAUUUUCUCAAAAAUGAAACGUCCACAAUCAUAGAUUAGUUUGAAUGAACUGUAUGCAUUUAUAUUAAGUACCUACACAACGACCAUCAAUGUGAUUAGUAUGUAAAUGUGUGUAAUAUGAAUCCCUUCAUAUAACAUCCGCCAUUGCAUUGUCAAGUGACCUGUUUGUUCAUUGUCAUUGACCUACUAACAACCGCAAAAUAGAAAUGUACUGUAAAUAAAGCAACUAC